GAGGACCUCUGGUGUGAUUCCAGUGCAAUGAACUGUAAUCUGUUGGGGUUCUUGGGGCAGUUGACCUUUACAUGCCCCAGCUCAUUACAUUUAAAACAUCUUCCAGCUGACGGGUCACUGGGGCGAGAUGGGUUGCUGGAGGACGGUGUGGUGGGACAAUAAGGAUAAAAGAUCUCUUUG